AUUGAACGCUGGCGGCAGGCCUAACACAUGCAAGUCGAGCGGAGCGGCGGACGGGUGAGUAAUGCCUAGGAAUCUGCCCGGUAGUGGGGGAUAACGUCCGGAAACGGGCGCUAAUACCGCAUACUAUCAGAUGAGCCUAGGUCGGAUUAGCUAGCUGGUGGGGUAAAGGCCUACCACGGCGACGAUCCGUACGUGGUCUGAGAGGAUGAUCAGUCACACUGGAACUGAGACACGGUCCAGGCGCCUACGGGAGGCAGCAGUGGGGAAUAUUGAAAAAGGGGCGAAAGCAUGAUCCAGCCAUGCCGCGUGUGUGAAGAAGGUGUUCGGAUUGUAAAGCACUUUAAGUUGGGAGGCGUUACCACCAGAAUAAGCACCGGCUAACUUCGUGCCAGCAGCCGCGGUAAUAC
rnacentral:rRNA from 1 species